rnacentral:rRNA from 1 species
AGGACGAACGCUGGCGGCGUGCUUAACACAUGCAAGUCGAGCGGAAAGGCCCUUCGGGGUACUCGAGCGGCGAACGGGUGAGUAACACGUGAGCAACCUGCCCCUGGCUCUGGGAUAGCCUCCGGAAACGGGGAUUAAUACCGGACAUGACCUGCUGCCGCAUGGUGGCGGGUGGAAAGUUUUUCGGCAGGGUGGGGCUCGCGGCCUAUCAGCUUGUUGGGGGGGUGACGGCCCACCAAGGCGACGACGGGUAGCCGGCCUGAGAGGGCGACCGGCCACACUGGGACUGAGACACGGCCCAGACUCCUACGGGAGGCAGCAGUGGGGAAUAUUGCGCAAUGGGCGGAAGCCUGACGCAGCGACGCCGCGUGCGGGAUGAAGGCCUUCGGGUUGUAAACCGCUUUCACCAGGGCGAAGCGAGAGUGACGGUACCUGGGGAAGAAGCGCCGGCUAACUACGUGCCAGCAGCCGC